GAUCAAGAAAGAAAAGAGACAAACGGAGACUAAUACGUCCCCCUUUUUUCUCUUUCCCUAGUUUACUUUCAUAUCGCGAAAGAAAGAAAUUUGAAUUGCCCAGUUAUGAGAAUGAGCAUAGGAUUUGACAUGCAAAGGGUGGAGGAUUUCUCAGAUGAGAUUAUGCUGGAGAAGCUACCAAGUAGGACCAUGAAAGCAGUACUUAUUAUGUUGUGCUAAUUGAUAUUGAUAAGUUUAUUGAUGGGAAAAGCGGGUGGAUGGUCAAAGAAAAGGGAACCAUCCUGGACCAAGGCCUGGUGAGCAAGGGAGAAAUCAGUGAUGAUGAUGAUAGGUCGAGGACCCACAUAAAGUGUAUCAAUGGAGCCAAGCUUGGUGUUGAGGGAGCGGAUAACGGGCUCACAAUCGAUGAAGGAUCCGUGGAGCCAAGGAGCGUGGGAUUGUUUUGCUCAUGAGGGUGAGGGUGAGGAGUGGGUGGGGUUGCUGGGUUUGUGAGGGAGAGGGGUGGGUGUAUUUGAGAGAGGGAGGGGGUAGGCUGUUGGUUUUCGUGAAGGAGAUGGUUGCGCAAGCUUGAGAGAGGGAGGGAGUAAGCUGCUGGUUUCACGAAAAAGAGGAGAGAGAAAAAAAGAAAGAAGAAGAGAGGAGGGGGGGGGGGGGGGG
rnacentral:misc_RNA from 1 species